GUUUACUAAGUGGUAGGAGAGCGUUCUAUUUGCGUCGAAGGUAUACCGGUAAGGAGUGCUGGAGCGAAUAGAAGUGAGCAUGCAGGCAUGAGUAGCGAUAAUUAAUGUGAGAAUCAUUAACGCCGUAAACCCAAGGUUUCCUACGCGAUGCUCGUCAUCGUAGGGUUAGUCGGGUCCUAAGUCGAGUCCGAAAGGGGUAGACGAUGGCAAAUUGGUUAAUAUUCCAAUACCAACAUUAGUGUGCGAUGGAAGGACGCUUAGGGCUAAGGGGGCUAGCGGAUGGAAGUGCUAGUCUAAGGUCGUAGGAGGUUAUACAGGCAAAUCCGUAUAACAAUACUCCGAGAACUGAAAGGCUUUUUGAAGUCUUCGGAUGGAUAGAAGAACCCCUGAUGCCGUCGAGCCAAGAAAAGUUUCUAAGUUUAGCUAAUGUUGCCCGUACCGUAAACCGACACAGGUGGGUGGGAUGAGUAUUCUAAGGCGCGUGGAAGAACUCUCUUUAAGGAACUCUGCAAAAUAGCACCGUAUCUUCGGUAUAAGGUGUGGUUAGCUUUGUAUUAGGAUUUACUCCGAAAGCAAGGAAACUUACAACAAAGAGUCCCUCCCGACUGUUUACCAAAAACACAGCACUCUGCUAACUCGUAAGAGGAUGUAUAGGGUGUGACGCCUGCCCGGUGCUCGAAGGUUAAUUGAUGGGGUUAGCAUUAGCGAAGCUCUUGAUCGAAGCCCGAGUAAACGGCGGCCGUAACUAUAACGGUCCUAAGGUAGCGAAAUUCCUUGUCGGUUAAAUACCGACCUGCAUGAAUGGCGUAACGAGAUGGGAGCUGUCUCAAAGAGGGAUCCAGUGAAAUUGUAGUGGAGGUGAAAAUUCCUCCUACCCGCGGCAAGACGGAAAGACCCCGUGGACCUUUACUACAGCUUGACACUGCUACUUGGAUAAGAAUGUGCAGGAUAGGUGGGAGGCUUUGAGUAUAUGACGCCAGUUGUAUAUGAGCCAUUGUUGAGAUACCACUCUUUCUUAUUUGGGUAGCUAACCAGCUUGAGUUAUCCUCAAGUGGGACAAUGUCUGGUGGGUAGUUUGACUGGGGCGGUCGCCUCCCAAAUAAUAACGGAGGCUUACAAAGGUUGGCUCAGAACGGUUGGAAAUCGUUCGUAGAGUAUAAAGGUAUAAGCCAGCUUAACUGCAAGACAUACAAGUCAAGCAGAGACGAAAGUCGGUCUUAGUGAUCCGGUGGUUCUGUGUGGAAGGGCCAUCGCUCAAAGGAUAAAAGGUACCCCGGGGAUAACAGGCUGAUCUCCCCCAAGAGCUCACAUCGACGGGGAGGUUUGGCACCUCGAUGUCGGCUCAUCGCAUCCUGGGGCUGGAGCAGGUCCCAAGGGUAUGGCUGUUCGCCAUUUAAAGCGGUACGCGAGCUGGGUUCAGAACGUCGUGAGACAGUUCGGUCCCUAUCUGCCGUGGGCGUAAGAAGAUUGAAGAGAUUUGACCCUAGUACGAGAGGACCGGGUUGAACAAACCACUGGUGUAGCUGUUGUUCUGCCAAGAGCAUCGCAGCGUAGCUAAGUUUGGAAAGGAUAAACGCUGAAAGCAUCUAAGCGUGAAGCCAACUCUAAGAUGAAUCUUCUCUAAGCUCUCUAGAAGACUACUAGUUUGAUAGGCUGGGUGUGUAAUGGAUGAAAGUCCUUUAGCUGACCAGUACUAAUAGAGCGUUUGGCUUAUCUUUAAUAAAGCAU
rnacentral:rRNA from 2 species